UGCUUGCACUUUGGCAGACUGAGUGGCGGACGGGUGAGUAACGCGUGGAUAACCUGCCUUAUACAGGGGGAUAACAGUUGGAAACGACUGCUAAUACCGCAUAAGCGCACAGGAUUGCAUGAUCUGGUGUGAAAAACUCCGGUGGUAUAAGAUGGACCCGCGUCUGAUUAGCUAGUUGGCAGGGCAACGGCCUACCAAGGCGACGAUCAGUAGCCGACCUGAGAGGAAGGUCCCCACAUUGGUACUGAGACACGGACCAAACUCC
rnacentral:rRNA from 1 species